UAACUCCAUUCAGACAGCGUUGGGCCGAGCACCGCCGUGUGUCGCCGCCCCACGCCCGGCUACCGCAUGCAGCAGCCACACCGCAGGUCGCCGCUCACGGCAACUACGCACACACACGCAGCAGCCACCGUCGCCCCGCGAGCUUCGCCUGGCCGCGCACUGCCGCAACCACACGUGAGCUUUUCUGACACCCACCGCCCACGGUCGACCUGCGAACCACACACGCACCAUCGCGAAGUGUUGAUUGAUCCCCUCCAUGGCCUCGUGCUCGCCGUCACAGCUCGUCGCCCUGGGGACGGAGAGGGGCAAGAUCCGUGGAGCUGCGCAUGGGGUCAGCAUAUCGUCCUCCUGCUCCUCAAUUCUGGUCGGGUAUCGUUUGGUCCGUGCGGCAGAGAUGGUGAAUUCCUCCUUGGGUGCCCCAGAUACAUUAUCUUCUCCUUUUGGAUGUUUGUGAAUUCCGACAUGUCCAAUGGGAAAACAAAUGCUCAGGUGGUGCGGCCUUAUAUUUCAAGAAAUAAAAUCUUAUGGUUACAUGCUAUCAGUUAAGGUGAAUCCGUGAAAGGCCGCUUGAAUUGUAUGCCUCGCUCAGGCUAGUCCAUAGAUCCAAAGAGUUUCCAAUGAGAGUUCUUCUGAAAGUGAAGUUAUCACAUCCUUGCUUUAGGCUGAAGAAGUCAACAUGGUUCAUUGGCUGAGCCUAGACACAUGGGAAGGUAAGAACUCCACUCACCAGCGUGAUGGCUUGCUUUAUUUCUUUUCAGAGAAACAUAUUUUUGCCAGAUUAUGAUUUUUACUGUUUCGUACACUUCGUAGUUUUCUAACAGUGUGAGAUAAUCCAUUCAAUACUAGUGUGCUAACGGUCAUGAGUGUGGUAGCAUGAGAAGGCACUAACGACGAGCCCAUGAGCCGUAAACCUCUCACAGUAAAAUGGUAUUACUACUCUGGAAGCUCCAGGCAGCCUCUGACUCAGCUCAGCAUGCCAAUUUUUUCUCGUUUGUUUUUCACAAUUAAUGCAGACUGGCCGGUGCCCGGUGAUGCCCAGCAUAUCCACGUACGGUCUGCACCCUUAUAUUGCAGCAGCUGCCUUGCCAUGAUAUGCAAGGUCCAAACGACUCCCUGCUCGGCUUGUCCAUGCUAUAGACACCCACAGGCUGGUCCAUAAAGGAAAAGAAGCACGUUGCUAAAAAUGGCACCCAUCCGUUGACAGCUUCCCACUCAUCUACGCUGAGAUCGACCUGGUUGGAUCACUGAUUCCAUCCAGCGGGUACAUAUAAAUAUUUUAAUGACCACGAAAGGUUGUUAGCUACGCCGAAAUUAGUCGAUGGUCAUCUAACCUGGUCAUCGUUGUUAUUUUCUCACAAUAUUUUUGUGCCGGGAAUCUCACAAUUAAUGAGGACACACCGUCCAUCUUAUCGUGUGGCUACAAAAAAUACGCCAGGAAAGGUGGCUGUCAUUUGUUUUUAACGACGGGGCCUACAAAGACCGCUAACCACUGCCAGAUUAAUUGUGGAGCAGUGCUAUACGGACGAUAAAACACGGAUGAUUCAUGCACGAAAGUGAAAUCCAGCCACGCAUGCAGGUGUACAGGGGAGCAACGGCCGCCGGAUACUUAGUCGUCUUCACAUUGUCGACGCUUUUAUCGUGUGUAGAGCAGUUUCGCUAAUUGUGUUCAUUAAUUAUGACUUUCAGUGACCAGAUGGAUAUCCCUAUCGUUGCAACCACGACUGCUAACAACCACCAGAUUAAUAUUGAGAGGAUCUCCAUCCAACGCCGUGACGUGAAGCCUCUGGCUAAUGUUGUACUUCCGGAGUACCAUCGCAACAAAAAAUAUUUGGAAGCAAUCCCAAUUAGUAACAUUUUUUACUGAGAAAACAAUAGUAUACAUUCUUUACACUCAAAGUAAAAUAAUAAAAAAAUCAACUUGGUGAUUUAUAUUUGUGUAAAUAUGUUUAGAACAUGUACAUAAUCUACAAUGCUAGGAGCUUACAUAGACGCUUAUGGAAAAAAUAAUAAAUAAAUAAAAAUCUGAAACACACAUAAGCACCUCAUCCCUCAACGCUAGACGCUAAUUAAUUAACUAAGCAAGGUAGACGCUAAGUGCUGGAAGGAAAAUGACCAAGCACCGGGUGCGUGGUUUGGCGUCGAUGCCAGGGUUGACACCAGGAUUACACCCGGCAACUGCUAAUCUGCCGGUAUUACGAACCUGGCACCUGGCCUAAGCGCCCAACAAUGGAGAUGCCCUAAAAUAACAUUUUCAAACAGCUUGAAGCCUAUAUUCAUAAGAGAGUCAUCCCAACUAACUUGUUUAUAUCAACAUGCAAGCGUGCCAUCUGACCAUAAAAUUAUAAAUGGGAUAGGGCUCACCUCAACAUGCAAUCAUGCAUGAAAAAAACACACCACAACAUUCAACCAUGCAUUAGAAAAUAUUUUGCAUUCAAAUAUUCUACUUAUACGCAAUACAUAUAUUACAACUGUCAUAGAGACUCAAAUGAAAUUUGCACGUUAAUAAAAAAUUACCAACCGUUCAUCUGGUGGGGCUGAGUUAUAAAGGUGUAGAUUAACCCAUGUAAUUCUCACACCGAAAAAUGCACAGUGUGGUCAAAAAAUAAUAGUAAUCCGUGUCAUGGUCCGGUCCCAUGUUAAACUGUUGGUCAUGAAAUAGAACUCUCCAUUUAUAAUUAAAAAAACAGAUAUAAUGAGUGGCUCAGUUGAGGGGUCGCUGGUAAAAAAAUUAGUUGGGAAAAUAAAAGCCAACACCUUUGAAACUCCAAUCUAUCUACUUCUACGUACAUCAUCUCUUUCUCUCCCCGUUAAAAAAAUCUUUCGUGAAGCAAUCUUGCUCCAUGGAAUCUAGCUUGCCUCCCUCUCCAAUGUAGGAAACAAGUCCAUUGUUCUCUCUUAAAGUGAAGCAAACAAGUCGCGGGCGGAUGCAGGUGCUCUCAAACUCAAACUGAAUCAAGAAAGUUGGUUGAUGGAUCCGGUGUGCUCACGGAGCUUAUCCCAUCAAAUACUCUUCCUCAUAUAGAUCAGGUUCGUCUCUCACAUUAAUUUGUUUCGAAUUUGUUUUCUUGAUGGUCUAUACUUGAGUUUACUGUCACGCUGCAAGCAUCUAUUGCCAGGAGAAAAACGGAUGGGUGGCUUUUUGCAAUGGUUUGGCCACAGUGCGACACCACCCAUCAUCCUGCUGCCAACACCCUUCACGGUUGAACUGAUAGUACUGCUGAAUCGAUCUUGCUCUGCACUUCUGCCGACGCAUCCGACAUAACAGAUGAAGGUUUCUCCAGCAUGUUUGAUGCGUCUCCCGAAAGAAAAAUGCAUCGUUGGUGCAUGGCACAUUCUCAGCGGAUGUGAUAAAUUUUUUGUACUUGGCAUGAUGGCUCUAACUAAGAUUUUUUUCUCAAGGAUGAUAACAGAGUCUGCCGAAUAAUACGUGUGCUCAGUCAAGCAUUCUGAAUAUCAAUUGCAAAAUCUAAUAGAGGUCUGUGCCAUGCUUCGCAAUAACAUUACUAUGACAGUCAUGAGUAUGGGCUAAAGCAAGGAAAAUAAGAAAAAACUGGCCACUCCAUCGAUUGAUGUACCCAGCACUAGAAUUGCAACUACAGGCAAGAUCAAGAUUGCAGAUAGAUCCAUUGGUUCAAUAUUUAACUAUGUAACUUUGCCUUUUUCUCCACAGUAAGAGAUUCUUGGACAUCAUAAGAAUCGAUGAACAAUGUGUCCAUGCCACAGAAGUGUUAUUGUUUAAGGUCCAUA